rnacentral:rRNA from 1 species
UACAGAGGUCCCAAGCGUUGUUCGGAUUCAUUGGGCGUAAAGGGUGCGUAGGCGGCGCGGUAAGUCGGGGGUGAAAUCUCGGAGCUUAACUCCGAAACUGCAUUCGAUACUGCCGUGCUUGAGGACUGGAGAGGAGACUGGAAUUUACGGUGUAGCGGUGAAAUGCGUAGAUAUCGUAAGGAAGACCAGUGGCGAAGGCGGGUCUCUGGACAGUUCCUGACGCUGAGGCACGAAGGUCAGGGGAGCAAACGGG